rnacentral:rRNA from 1 species
UACGGGGGGGAGCAAGCGUUGUUCGGAUUUACUGGGCGUAAAGGGCGCGUAGGCGGCCAGCACAAGUCAGUUGUGAAAUCUCCGAGCUUAACUCGGAAAGGUCAACUGAUACUGUGCGGCUAGAGUGCGGAAGGGGCAACUGGAAUUCUUGGUGUAGCGGUGAAAUGCGUAGAGAUCGGGAAGAACAUCAGUGGCGAAGGCGGCCUGCUGGGCUGUUGCUGACGCUGAGGCGCGACAGCGUGGGGGAGCAAACAGG